AGCUCGGGGCCUUUUUCCUGUUCUCGCCUGCUGUCAAGAUGUGCAGCGCGCUCUCGGUCGGAGCGGGUGGGAUGAGGUCACGUCCUCUGUACCAUGGCAGAAUGGGAGUGAUGAGCAUCUCCCACCUCAGCACAUGAGGAGCCGGCUUCCAGAGAGCCAAACAGGAUGAAGAAAUACAGCCUGACCUCUCUGGAGCAAAGAGAAGCUAGUACCCUGACUGACGAGUGCUCAGGUGUAGUGGAAAACAGCUAUGUAAACUCACAAAAAACCAGAAGAUGAUGUGGUACCAAGUAAUCACAACACCUUAGAUACAUUCUAUCUUGUAAGUAUGGAGGUCCUCUCAGCUUAGCAGGUUGUAUUUGAGAGUGCUAUUUGUCAAUUACUCUUUUUAAUUUCUGUCCUAAUUUUCCUUCCUGUGGUGAGAAAUUGUAUUUUCCCAUCUCUUCUUCCCUACAACUUAAAAUGUCUAGUAUUCCAAUAUACCUCUGUCAGCACUCUACCUUCCUGUUAACUGAGUUAUUCUUCAACAUUGAUCAUUGUCUUCUCCUAUCAGGGAGCUGUAGCAGCAAAGGGCCACAGUACUCAUGUGUGUUUGACUCCCUAGAUUUGAUUCUAAGCUCUACUAAACCCACCCAAGGUCAAACUCUUGAUUUAUUUGAGAGUUCAGACUUCUUAUCCCAGGUCCUGUGAGUGAUCUGUUCAUGUGGGUGGCCUGUGUACUAAAAGGUUGGGCCUUGCAUUUUUCUAGCCAAGUCACAUGUGGGCCUUUGGAAUCUCAGAAAUUUUCCACUUGACAGAAGAAGGGGACUUCAGAAGCACUGCUAUAAGUACUUAGAAAGAUAGGCAAGGAAAAUAUUUCAGUGUGCUGAUACCCUACUCUCCCUCUCACUUUUGCAAAAUGGUGGCAAUUUCUUUGAAACUGCAGUUUGGCAUAAUUGUGGGUAUAGGCUGUUUUUGACCAGGAUUUGCUUGUCUGUCUGCAGAAAUGGCACAAGGACUUAGAAAACGGCAAGAUCCAACUUUAACUUGCAUCAGUUACAUCGGUAUGUUUUGUCUUCAUUGAAUUUUGAAUUGGCCCUGAUGUCAUGAGGAGAGCUUCCCGAGCUUCAGGAUGCUGUGAAAAAAUGCAGUUCCUUAGAAAACAGUAUGUUAAAGGUUCAGCAGAUGUGCUGAAGGAGUAGCUUUGGGAUUCCUGGGUUUAACAUGCAAGUCACUGGUUUUGACUAAGUACAGGCUUAUAUUAUUAGAGAAUGGUCUCAGCAGAGGCAAAUUACCAUUUACAAGUGAGAGAAGUAGCCUGUUUCCUUUGCCUUUAAGGAGAAUAUUUUCAAAUUUUCCCAAGUAGAUAUGAGUUUACAGUUCUUUGACACAAAUGACUUACUGUGAAGUCUUCUGUAAGUAGUAUGGUGGGUCAUUGUUGCCCUUCAGAGGAAGCAGUAAGUGGUGACAAGUAUCUGCAGGUGAAAGCCAAGUAGAUAAAUAUAAGGUACUUUGGAACCUGUUUCCUUAUCUAACCUUUUAAGGUUGUCAUUAACUGUUUCCUGUUUAUCCUUCAGUUGAAAUCUCUGCUCACCUUGAAGAAGCCGAUUGUUCAGUAGGAAGACUCAUUAGGAGCUGUAUCUCACUCCAUCUCAGCAAUUGGGCAUUCAGUUCUGAGAUUUUAUUCCCAGUUUAGGAUUGGAAGGCUGUUUUAAGUGACAAAGUUUUGCUGAAGUCUAUUGUCUUUGGUUAUUGUAAUUUACCUGCUUUAAAGAUAAAUAUUGUGUAGUUCCAAUUUUCUUUUGUGUUUGUAUCUUUUUUUGAGGCCAUUUUGAGACUAAAACCAAGAG